rnacentral:tRNA from 1 species
ACCCAGCUGGCUCAGUCAGUAGAGCAUGUGACUCUUGAUCUUGGGGUUGUAAGUUCAAGCCCCUUGCUGGGUG